rnacentral:rRNA from 1 species
UACGUAGGGUGCGAGCGUUAAUCGGAAUUACUGGGCGUAAAGCGUGCGCAGGCGGUUCGUUGUGUCGGCGGUGAAAGCCCCGGGCUUAACCUGGGAACGGCUGUUGAAACUGGCGAACUGGAGUGUGGCAGAGGGGGGUGGAAUUCCGCGUGUAGCAGUGAAAUGCGUAGAGAUGCGGAGGAACACCGAUGGCGAAGGCAGCCCCCUGGGCUAACACUGACGCUCAGGCACGAAAGCGUGGGGAGCAAACAGG